rnacentral:rRNA from 1 species
CAUUGUGGUCAACACUUCUCAGAUCUCAGAAGUUAAGUAGGGCUGUGCCAGGUUAGUACUUGGAUGGGAGACCACUGGGAAUACCAGGCACCAGUGG